AGUGCUUGCACAACUGGUGUUGGCCGCGGUCUUCAAAACCGUUGAGCCGUACGUUAACCGUGCGGCUGGUGGGUUCGAUUCCCAUGCACUUCC
rnacentral:tRNA from 1 species